rnacentral:rRNA from 1 species
UACGGAGGGUGCGAGCGUUGUCCGGAAUCAUUGGGCGUAAAGGGCGCGUAGGUGGCGGCUUAAGCGUGCGGUGAAAGCUCGGGGCUCAACCCCGAGUCGGCCGUGCGAACUGGGAGGCUUGAGCACUGUAGAGGCAGGCGGAAUUCCGGGUGUAGCGGUGAAAUGCGUAGAUAUCGGAAGGAACAUCAGUGGCGAAAGCGACUUCCUGGACCAAUACUGACGCUCAUGUGCGAAAGCGUGGGGAGCAAACAG